UGGAGGGUGGUAGAGGCGUGUGGAAUUCCGCGUGUAGUGGUGAAAUGCGUAGAGAUGCGGAGGAACACCAGUGGCGAAGGCGGCACGCUGGGCCACACCUGACGCUGAGGCGCGAAAGCAUGGGUAGCGAACGGGAUUAGAAACCCCGGUAGUCCAUGCCGUAAACGAUGUGUAUUAGAUGUUCGUAUACCUGCGGGUAUGUGAGUGUCGCAGCUAACGCGAUAAAUACACCGCCUGGGGAGUACGGUCGCAAGGCUAAAACUCAAAGGAAUUGACGGGGGCCCGCACAAGCAGCGGAGCGUGUGGUUUAAUUCGAGGCUACGCGAAGAACCUUACCUGGGCUUGACAUCCCGCGCAACCUCUGGAAACAGGGGGUUCCUACGGGACGCGGAGACAGGUGCUGCAUGGCUGUCGUCAGCUCGUGUCGUGAGAUGUUCGGUUAAGUCCGAAAACGAGCGCAACCCUCGGCGUUAGUUACAAGUGUCUAACGCGACUGCCUACGGCAAGUAGGAGGAAGGUGGGGAUGACGUCAAGUCAGCAUGGCCUUUAUGUCCAGGGCUACACACACGCUACAAUGGCGCAUACAAUGGGUCGCGAAGCCGCGAGGUGGAGCCAAUCCCGAAAGUGCGUCGUAGUUCGGAUUGUAGGCUGCAACUCGCCUGCAUGAAGUCGGAGUUGCUAGUAACCGCGUAUCAGCACGGCGCGGUGAAUACGUUCCCGGGCCUUGUACACACCGCCCGUCACGUCAUGGGAGUUGGUCACGCCUGAAGUCGGGAAGCUAACCUCACGGAGGCUACCGCCGAAGGCAGGGCCGAUGACUGGGACGAAGUCGUAACAAGGUAGCUGUAGCGGAAGCUGCGGCUGGAUCACCU
rnacentral:rRNA from 1 species